rnacentral:lncRNA from 1 species
AGCUUGAUGAUGAAACUCUUUUUCCUUCUAAGAUUGGUGUCCCAUUUCCCAAAAACUUUAUGUCUGUGGCAAAGACUAUUCUGAAGCGUCUCUUCAGGGUUUAUGCCCAUAUUUACCACCAGCACUUUGACUCCGUGAUGCAGCUGCAAGAGGAGGCCCACCUCAACACCUCCUUUAAGCACUUUAUUUUCUUUGUUCAGGUAAGUGAGCCAUGUUGGUCUCUGGGCCUUGGACUUGGACUUUGGUAAUGUAUCAAAAGCACCACCUCAUUUAUAGAUGUAGAACAUGUAAGUUUUAAGCUUUGUUCUGUCCCCAGUUUUGCUCUCUUCUUCAUACUGUUUCAUUGAUUCAUGAAGCAGUUUAGGAGGGCAGUGUCUCUGAAGUGGAGAGGCGGUUUGGCAAUAAAGCACUCAUACAGUUAUUGCUGAAGACCUGGGUUCAGCUCCCAGAACCCAUAUCAGGAGGCUCACAAUAACCUGUAAGGGAUCCAGCAUCUUAAUCUAGUUU